AAAUUGAAGAGUUUGAUCAUGGCUCAGAUUGAACGCUGGCGGCAGGCCUAACACAUGCAAGUCGAGCGGAAACGAGUUAUCUGAGCCUUCGGGG
rnacentral:rRNA from 1 species